UACGAGGGGUGCAAGCGUUGUUCGGAAUCACUGGGCGUAAAGCGUGUCUAGGCGGCUAUCUAAGUCUGUUGUGAAAGCCCUUGGCUCAACCAAGGAUGUGCAAUGGAUACUGGGUGGCUUGAAUUGUGGAGAGGUGGGCGGAAUUCCGAGUGUAGCGGUGAAAUGCGUAGAUAUUCGGAGGAACACCAGAGGCGAAGGCGGCUCACUGGCCACAUAUUGACGCUAAAGCACGAAAGCAUGGGUAGUAAACAGG
rnacentral:rRNA from 1 species